GAUGAACGCUGGCGGCGUGCUUAACACAUGCAAGUCGAACGAAGCACUUUAUUUGAUUUCCUUCGGGACUGAUUAUUUUGUGACUGAGUGGCGGACGGGUGAGUAACGCGUGGGUAACCUGCCUUGUACAGGGGGAUAACAGUUGGAAACGACUGCUAAUACCGCAUAAGCGCACAGGAUUGCAUGAUCCAGUGUGAAAAACUCCGGUGGUAUAAGAUGGACCCGCGUCUGAUUAGCUAGUUGGUGGGGUAACGGCCUACCAAGGCGACGAUCAGUAGCCGACCUGAGAGGGUGACCGGCCACAUUGGGACUGAGACACGGCCCAAAACUCCUACGGGAGCAGCAGUGGGGAAUAUUGCACAAUGGGGGAAACCCUGAUGCAGCGACGCCGCGUGAGCGAAGAAGUAUUUCGGUAUGUAAAGCUCUAUCAGCAGGGAAGAAAAAUGACGGUACCUGACUAAGAAGCCCCGGCUAACUACGUG
rnacentral:rRNA from 1 species